rnacentral:rRNA from 1 species
CACCAGCUCUCCGAGUGGUAGGGAUGAUUAUUGGGCUUAAAGCGUCCGUAGCCGGCUUAGCAAGUUUCCUGUUAAACUCAGCGACUCAAUCGUUGGAUCGCGGGAAAUACUACUAGGCUAGGAGGCGGGAGAGGUCAACGGUACUUCUGGGGUAGGGGUGAAAUCCUAUAAUCCCGGGAGGACCACCAGUGGCGAAGGCUGUUGACUAGAACGCGCUCGACGGUGAGGGACGAAAGCUGGGGUAGCAAACCGGAUUAGAUACCCGGGUAGUCCCAGCUGUAAACGAUGCGAGCUAGGUGUUGGGAUGGCUACGGGCCAUUUCAGUGCCGCAGGGAAGCCAUUAAGCUCGCCGCCUGGGGAGUACGGCCGCAAGGCUGAAACUUAAAGGAAUUGGCGGGGAGCACCACAAGGCGUGAAGCUUGCGGUUC